rnacentral:rRNA from 1 species
AACGAACGCUGGCGGCAGGCUUAACACAUGCAAGUCGAGCGCACCUUCGGGUGAGCGGCGGACGGGUUAGUAACGCGUGGGAACAUACCCUUUGGUACGGAAUAGCCUCUGGAAACGGAGAGUAAUACCGUAUGAGCCCUUCGGGGGAAAGAUUUAUCGCCAAAGGAUUGGCCCGCGUUAGAUUAGGUAGUUGGUGGGGUAAUGGCCUACCAAGCCUACGAUCUAUAGCUGGUUUUAGAGGAUGAUCAGCAACACUGGGACUGAGACACGGCCCAGACUCCUACGGGAGGCAGCAGUGGGGAAUCUUGGACAAUGGGGGCAACCCUGAUCCAGCCAUGCCGCGUGAGUGAUGAAGGCCUUAGGGUCGUAAAGCUCUUUCGCCUGUGAAGAUAAUGACGGUAGCAGGUAAAGAAACCCCGGCUAACUCCGUGCCAGCCGCCGCCGUAAC